rnacentral:rRNA from 1 species
ACGAAGGUGGCAACCGUUGUUCGGAAUCACUGGGCAUAAAGCGCACGUAGGCGGCAAGAAAAGUCAGGUGUGAAAGCCCUCGGCCCAACCGAGGAAUUGCGCUUGAAACUGUCUUGCUUGAGGGCGGGAGGGGAGCGUGGAAUUCCUGGUGGAGCGGUGAAAUGCGUUGAUAUCAGGAGGAACACCGGCGGCGAAGGCGACGCUCUGGCCCGCUUCUGACGCUGAGGUGCGAAAGCCAGGGGAGCAAACGGG